rnacentral:rRNA from 1 species
GGGUUGUGAGGUUAAGCGACUAAGCGUACACGGUGGAUGCCCUGGCAGUCAGAGGCGAUGAAGGGCGUGCUAAUCUGCGAUAAGCGCCGGUAAGGUGAUAUGAACCGUUAUAACCGGCGAUACCCGAAUGGGGAAACCCAGUGUGUUUCGACACACUAUCAUUAACUGAAUCCAUAGGUUAAUGAGGCGAACCGGGGGAACUGAAACAUCUAAGUACCCCGAGGAAAAGAAAUCAACCGAGAUUCCCCCAGUAGCGGCGAGCGAACGGGGAGGAGCCCAGAGCCUGAAUCAGCAUGUGUGUUAGUGGAAGCGUCUGGAAAGGCGCGCGAUACAGGGUGACAGCCCCGUACACAAAAGCGCAUGUGCUGUGAGCUCGAUGAGUAGGGCGGGACACGUGGUAUCCUGUCUGAAUAUGGGGGGACCAUCCUCCAAGGCUAAAUACUCCUGACUGACCGAUAGUGAACCAGUACCGUGAGGGAAAGGCGAAAAGAACCCCGGCGAGGGGAGUGAAAAAGAACCUGAAACCGUGUACGUACAAGCAGUGGGAGCCCCACCACUAAGCCAGUGGUGAACUCCACAUACGCAUCCUUUGCUGAGGAUACGGUUAACGGAGCGAAAGCGACGUUCAACCUCAAAAGAAGCAGAGGGGGCUUAGUGGUGGGGUGACUGCGUACCUUUUGUAUAAUGGGUCAGCGACUUAUAUUCUGUAGCAAGGUUAACCGAAUAGGGGAGCCGGAGGGAAACCGAGUCUUAACCGGGCGUUAAGUUGCAGGGUAUAGACCCGAAACCCGGUGAUCUAGCCAUGGGCAGGUUGAAGGUUGGGUAACACUAACUGGAGGACCGAACCGACUAAUGUUGAAAAAUUAGCGGAUGACCUGUGGCUGGGGGUGAAAGGCCAAUCAAACCGGGAGAUAGCUGGUUCUCCCCGAAAGCUAUUUAGGUAGCGCCUCGUGAAUUCAUCUCCGGGGGUAGAGCACUGUUUCGGCUAGGGGGCCAUCCCGGCUUACCAACCCGAUGCAAACUGCGAAUACCGGAGAAUGUUAUCACGGGAGACACACGGCGGGUGCUAACGUCCGUCGUGAAGAGGGAAACAACCCAGACCGCCAGCUAAGGUCCCAAAGUCAUGGUUAAGUGGGAAACGAUGUGGGAAGGCCCAGACAGCCAGGAUGUUGGCUUAGAAGCAGCCAUCAUUUAAAGAAAGCGUAAUAGCUCACUGGUCGAGUCGGCCUGCGCGGAAGAUGUAACGGGGCUAAACCAUGCACCGAAGCUGCGGCAGCGACGCUGAUGCGUUGUUGGGUAGGGGAGCGUUCUGUAAGCCUGCGAAGGUGGCCUGUGAGGGUUGCUGGAGGUAUCAGAAGUGCGAAUGCUGACAUAAGUAACGAUAAAGCGGGUGAAAAGCCCGCUCGCCGGAAGACCAAGGGUUCCUGUCCAACGUUAAUCGGGGCAGGGUGAGUCGACCCCUAAGGCGAGGCCGAAAGGCGUAGUCGAUGGGAAACGGGUUAAUAUUCCCGUACUUGGUGUUACUGCGAAGGGGGGACGGAGAAGGCUAUGUUGGCCGGGCGACGGUUGUCCCGGUUUAAGCGUGUAGGUGUGUGUUCCAGGUAAAUCCGGUUCACUUUAACACUGAGGCGUGAUGACGAGGCACUACGGUGCUGAAGCAACAAAUGCCCUGCUUCCAGGAAAAGCCUCUAAGCAUCAGGUAACAUCAAAUCGUACCCCAAACCGACACAGGUGGUCAGGUAGAGAAUACCAAGGCGCUUGAGAGAACUCGGGUGAAGGAACUAGGCAAAAUGGUGCCGUAACUUCGGGAGAAGGCACGCUGACACGUAGGUGAAGUGAUUUACUCAUGGAGCUGAAGUCAGUCGAAGAUACCAGCUGGCUGCAACUGUUUAUUAAAAACACAGCACUGUGCAAACACGAAAGUGGACGUAUACGGUGUGACGCCUGCCCGGUGCCGGAAGGUUAAUUGAUGGGGUCAGCGCAAGCGAAGCUCCUGAUCGAAGCCCCGGUAAACGGCGGCCGUAACUAUAACGGUCCUAAGGUAGCGAAAUUCCUUGUCGGGUAAGUUCCGACCUGCACGAAUGGCGUAAUGAUGGCCAGGCUGUCUCCACCCGAGACUCAGUGAAAUUGAACUCGCUGUGAAGAUGCAGUGUACCCGCGGCAAGACGGAAAGACCCCGUGAACCUUUACUAUAGCUUGACACUGAACAUUGAGCCUUGAUGUGUAGGAUAGGUGGGAGGCUUUGAAGUGUGGACGCCAGUCUGCAUGGAGCCGGCCUUGAAAUACCACCCUUUAAUGUUUGAUGUUCUAACGUGGACCCGUGAUCCGGGUUGCGGACAGUGUCUGGUGGGUAGUUUGACUGGGGCGGUCUCCUCCUAAAGAGUAACGGAGGAGCACGAAGGUUGGCUAAUCCUGGUCGGACAUCAGGAGGUUAGUGCAAUGGCAUAAGCCAGCUUGACUGCGAGCGUGACGGCGCGAGCAGGUGCGAAAGCAGGUCAUAGUGAUCCGGUGGUUCUGAAUGGAAGGGCCAUCGCUCAACGGAUAAAAGGUACUCCGGGGAUAACAGGCUGAUACCGCCCAAGAGUUCAUAUCGACGGCGGUGUUUGGCACCUCGAUGUCGGCUCAUCACAUCCUGGGGCUGAAGUAGGUCCCAAGGGUAUGGCUGUUCGCCAUUUAAAGUGGUACGCGAGCUGGGUUUAGAACGUCGUGAGACAGUUCGGUCCCUAUCUGCCGUGGGCGCUGGAGAACUGAGGGGGGCUGCUCCUAGUACGAGAGGACCGGAGUGGACGCAUCACUGGUGUUCGGGUUGUCAUGCCAAUGGCACUGCCCGGUAGCUAAAUGCGGAAGAGAUAAGUGCUGAAAGCAUCUAAGCACGAAACUUGCCCCGAGAUGAGUUCUCCCUGAGACUUAGAGUCUCCUGAAGGAACGUUGAAGACGACGACGUUGAUAGGCCGGGUGUGUAAGCGCAGCGAUGCGUUGAGCUAACCGGUACUAAUGAACCGUGAGGCUUAACCUUACAACGCCGAAG